GACGAACGCUGGCGGCGUGCCUAAUACAUGCAAGUAGAACGCCGAAGGAGGAGCUUGCUUCUCUGGACGAGUUGCGAACGGGUGAGUAACGCGUAGGUAACCUGCCUGGUAGCGGGGGAUAACUACUGGAAACGAUAGCUAAUACCGCAUAACAGUAGAUAUCGCAUGAUAUCUACUUGAAAGGUGCAAUUGCAUCACUACCACAUGGAGCUGCGUUGUAUUAGCGUGUUGGUGAGGUAACGGCUCACCAAGGCGACGAUGCAUAGCCGACCGGAGAGGGGGAUCAGCCGCCCUGGGACGGAGACAGGGCACAGACGGCUACGGAAGGGAGCAGGAGGGAAUCGUGGGCAAGGGACGGAAGUCUGACCGAGAAACGCCGCGGGAGUGAAGAAGGAUGUCGGAUCGGAGAGCUCUGUUGUAAGAGAGGAACGAGUGUGAGAGUGGAAAGUUCACACUGUGACGGUAUCUGACCAAAAAGGAACGGCUAACUACGUG
rnacentral:rRNA from 1 species